rnacentral:rRNA from 1 species
UACGUAGGGGGCAAGCGUUGUCCGGAAUCAUUGGGCGUAAAGCGCGUGUAGGCGGUCCGGUUAGUCGGCUGUGAAAGUCAAGGGCUCAACCCUUGAAUGCCGGUCGAUACUGCCGGACUAGAGUCCGGAAGAGGCAAGUGGAAUUCCCGGUGUAGCGGUGAAAUGCGCAGAUAUCGGGAGGAACACCAAUGGCGAAGGCAGCUUGCUGGGACGGUACUGAC